rnacentral:rRNA from 1 species
GAUGAACGCUGGCGGCGUGCCUAAUACAUGCAAGUCGAGCGAACGGACGAGAAGCUUGCUUCUCUGAUGUUAGCGGCGGACGGGUGAGUAACACGUGUAUCACCUACCUAUAAGACUGGGAUAACUUCGGGAAACCGUAGCUAAUACCGGAUAAUAUUUUGAACCGCAUGGUUCAAAAGAGAGAGACGGUCUUGCUGUCACUUAUAGAUGGAUCCGCGCUGCAUUAGCUAGUUGGUAAGGUAACGGCUUACCAAGGCAACGAUGCGUAGCCGACCUGAGAGGGUGAUCGGCCGCAUGGGAGCUGAGACACGGUCCAGGCUCCUACGGGAGGCAGCAGUAGGGAAUCUUCCGCAAUGGGCGAAAGCCUGACGGAGCAGCGCCGCGUGAGUGAUGAAGGUCUUCGGAUCGUAAUACUCUGUUAUUAGGGAAGAACAGAUGUGUAAGUAACUGUGCACAUCUUGACGGUACCUAAUCAGAAAGCCACGGCUAACUACGUG